rnacentral:rRNA from 1 species
GUGUCAGCAGCCGCGGUAAUACGUAGGGUCCAAGCGUUAUCCGGAUUUACUGGGUGUAAAGGGCGAGUAGACGGCGUUACAAGUCAGAUGUGAAAACUUGGGGCUCAACCUCAAGACUGCAUCUGAAACUGUAAUGCUAGAGUGCAGGAGAGGAAAGUGGAAUUCCUAGUGUAGCGGUGAAAUGCGUAGAUAUUAGGAGGAACACCAGUGGCGAAGGCGACUUUCUGGACUGUAACUGACGUUGAGGCGCGAAAGUGUGGGGAGCAAACAGGAUUAGAUACCCUGGUAGUCCACACUGUAAACGAUGGAUACUAGGUGUAGGCACUAACGUGUCUGUGCCGGCGCAAACGCAAUAAGUAUCCCACCUGGGGAGUACGGCCGCAAGGUUGAA